rnacentral:misc_RNA from 1 species
CUAACACCAAAUCAGGGGAAUGACCAAAUCAAAACAAAUCACAUAAUCACGAAUUUGAAAUUAUGAGAAAUCUGCUAUAUAGAAGUAUUGCACUGAAUUACACUGCCACCACCCAUCAAAGGGACGAGUAUGGAUGGAAUGAUCACAGUAGUUCCAAGCAUCACUAUGUAGUGCUGAAAUCCUAAAAAUAUGGCUUAAGCUGCAAUCAAUGGGGAAAAUUUAAACAAAAUUAUUUUGUGCUCAGGAAUUUAUUAUCAAUUUGACCAUUAUAAUUCACCAUUAAUACUCAACCAAUAGCUCAAAGGAAUAAUGUUCUUGAAGAAUGCACGAAUAUGAAGUCAAAUUGGUAAUUUUCUUGAUAAUAAAAAUUUGAUGACUUUUAAAAUGUUACUUAAAGUGUACCAUUAAGAACAUUUAUUUGUGAGCAAUAUAAACAAAACUAGCCAGUGGAGCAAAAUUAAAUUUGCAGUUGCUAAAAAAAGAAAAUAUACAUGUAUCAAUAAAAUAUUUUUAAACGAAGAAAAUGUAAUUAAGUAAAAUUUUACUUAGAUAGCCCCGUUUGGAUAAUUGGAAAAUGCAGGAAAACGAGAUAAAUAGGGGAUAAAACCAUCGAAGCAUAGAAUUGUAAUUGGAUUGCUUAUAUAUCUCGAGAAAUCUACUAGAUUUUUAACAUUUUCAGACACAGUAAUUGGAUAAGUUUUUUCAUUUAAAUUAAAGCGGUAAAAAUAUAGAGUUUUAAGAAAAAGGGGAAAAAUCAAAUCUAAUAAAUCAAAACUUUUCCGUUCAUUUUUCUGUUCUUUUGCUUCCCUAACUUUCUUGGCUACCAAACAGAAUCUAUUUGAUAAAAAAAAUUAAAAACAAAAAACAACAACUGACAUCAUUUCAUUGAUGAUUCAUCAAUAUUUUCGUUUUUUU